rnacentral:rRNA from 1 species
CCUACGGGGGGCAGCAGUGAGGAAUAUUGGUCAAUGGGCGCGAGCCUGAACCAGCCAAGCCGCGUGAAGGAUGACUGCCCUACGGGUUGUAAACUUCUUUUAUAAAGGAAUAAAGUCAGGCACGUGUGCCUUUCUGAAUGUACUUUACGAAUAAGGAUCGGCUAACUCCGUGCCAGCAGCCGCGGUAAUACGGAGGAUCCGAGCGUUAUCCGGAUUUAUUGGGUUUAAAGGGAGCGUAGACGGGUUGUUAAGUCAGAGGUGAAAGUAUGAGGCUCAACUGUGGAAUUGCAAUUGAUACUGGCAGGCUAGAGUGUAGUUGCGGUAGGCGGAAUGCGUGGUGUAGCGGUGAAAUGCUUAGAGAUCACGAAGAACACCGAUUGCGAAGGCAGCCUACUAAGCUACCACUGACGUUGAGGCUCGAAAGUGUGGGUAUCAAACAGGAUUAGAUACCCGUGUAGUC